AUGUCGAAUUUGCUCCAACUGGCGAUCUGGGGGAAUGGCUUAGGUAGAGCCCAUCGUAGCAAGGCCAUGAGUGGUAAGAGACUGGUGCUAACCCUUCUCUAUCUCUCCCCAGGUGCCGAGUGGCUCCAUGGUGGUUCUGAGAACUCUUUCCUGCCCGGGCUCUUGGUGGAAGCUCCUACCAUAGGAAGAAAGAGCCAGGAUCCUCUACCAGAGAAAGAGUCAGUCAGGCUCCCAGAGCAAGAGAGGCAGAGGAUGGAGCUAUGUGAAGGAAAAUUAUACCACCUAGCCCGUCCUGGGCCUUUGUAUCCAUCCACAAUUAAUUCUGGAAACCAGGUCAUGGGAUUCGCAGUAACCUUACUUCAUCGAACCCCAGCUUCAGUAAGAAGAAAGGCAUGACUGUGACCCCUUUCCUGAGGAUCCUGGUCUGGUCAUUCACUCCCCUAUCCUGGUGCAGGCCACUCCUGGCCUGGUCCAUUUCUGUUCAGUCCUGGCAUGCCUGGAGGGAUGACUUACAUUAGACAGAGGUCAGUUGGGCACUCAGAAGACCUGGCUUCUAGUCCUACCUUUGAAGCUAGCUCUUGCUGGGCCUUCUAGCAGGUUAUUAGUCAUCUCUGGGCAUCGGUUUCUGCUUCUCUACAAUGAAAGGAGUUGGAUUGGAUACCUGGCUAAGAGUCUAGCCGGCUCUGACAUUCCUGAACUUCCAUAUACCUGGGUUCUCAUCUUAUCUCAUCUCACCUCUGCCAUUAAACUGUCUGUGUGAUCUCAGGCAGCUGACUUCUCCUUUGUAGGCCUUAGAUUUCUCACCCCCCCCACACCAAAUGAGGGGGCCAAUUCUCCAACAGCUAAGUGGUCAGAGGCAGUUCUCAAGAGAGGAAAUCCAAACUCUUCAUAGCCAUAUGAAAAAAUCCCCCAAAUUACUAAUAAUGAAAGAAGUACAAAUUAAAAUGACUCUAGUUCCGUCUCACACCCAUCAGAUUGGCAAAGUUGACAGAAAUGAAAAUCACAAAUGUUGGAGGGGCUGAAGGAAAGCAGGAACGUUAACACACUAUUGGAACUGUGAAUUGGUAUAGUCAUUCUGGAAAACAGUUUUGGGGGUAUGCCCCCACAUACUUUGACCCAGUAACCAUGAUGGGCCUGAGUGGCUAGGUAGUGCAGUGGGUAGAGUGUUAGGCCUAAAGCAGGAAGACCUGAGUUCAAAUCCCACCUCAGUCACUUACUAGCUGUGUGACCCUGGGCAAGUCAUAUAACUUCUGUCUGUUUCAGUUUCUUCAAUUAUAAAAUAAAACUAUAAUAACAGCAGGAAAAAGCCCUAUA
rnacentral:lncRNA from 1 species